rnacentral:rRNA from 1 species
GACGAACGCUGGCGGCGUGCCUAAUACAUGCAAGUUGAGCGCUGAAGGUUGGUCCUUGUACCAAAUGGCUGAGCAGCGAACGGGUGAGUAACGCGUGGGGAAUCUGCCUUUGAGCGGGGGACAACAUUUGGAAACGAAUGCUAAUACCGCAUAAAAACUUUAAACACAAGUUUUAAGUUUGAAAGAUGCAAUUGCAUCACUCAAAGAUGAUCCCGCGUUGUAUUAGCUAGUUGGUGAGGUAAAGGCUCACCAAGGCGAUGAUACAUAGCCGACCUGAGAGGGUGAUCGGCCACAUUGGGACUGAGACACGGCCCAAACUCCUACGGGAGGCAGCAGUAGGGAAUCUUCGGCAAUGGACGAAAGUCUGACCGAGCAACGCCGCGUGAGUGAAGAAGGUUUUCGGAUCGUAAAACUCUGUUGGUAGAGAAGAACGUUGGUGAGAGUGGAAAGCUCAUCAAGUGACGGUAACUACCCAGAAAGGGACGGCUAACUACGU